rnacentral:ncRNA from 2 species
AAUAAUCAUCAAGAACCUUUAGGUACCAACCGAGCAAAGUAGCCACGGUGGUAAAAAUGAUGUGGUCGAUUUCUAGACAAAAAAACUAAAUCAC